AGAGUUUGAUCCUGGCUCAGGAUGAACGCUAGCGGCAGGCUUAAUACAUGCAAGUUGAGGGGCAGCAUGAGUAGCAAUACUUGAUGGCGACCGGCGCACGGGUGCGUAACGCGUAUGCAAUCUACCUAUAACAGAGGGAUAGCCCCGAGAAAUCGGGAUUAAUACCACAUAAUAUUCCUGGGUGGCAUCAUUUAGGAAUCAAAGCUGAGGCGGUUAUAGAUGAGCAUGCGUGACAUUAGCUAGUUGGAGAGGUAACGGCUCACCAAGGCGACGAUGUCUAGGGGUUCUGAGAGGAUGAUCCCCCACACUGGUACUGAGACACGGACCAGACUCCUACGGGAGGCAGCAGUAAGGAAUAUUGGUCAAUGGGCGAGAGCCUGAACCAGCCAUGCCGCGUGCAGGAAGACGGCCUUAUGGGUUGUAAACUGCUUUUGUCGGGGAAUAAACCUAUCUACGAGUAGAUAGCUGAAGGUACCCGAAGAAUAAGCAUCGGCUAACUCCGUGCCAGCAGCCGCGGUAAUACGGAGGAUGCAAGCGUUAUCCGGAUUCAUUGGGUUUAAAGGGUGCGCAGGCGGAUUGAUAAGUCAGUGGUGAAAUUCAACGGCUCAACUGUUGACCUGCCAUUGAUACUGUUAGUCUAGAGUAUAGUUGAAGUGGGCGGAAUGUGUCAUGUAGCGGUGAAAUGCUUAGAUAUGACACAGAACACCGAUCGCGAAGGCAGCUCACUAAGCUAAAACUGACGCUCAUGCACGAAAGCGUGGGGAUCAAACAGGAUUAGAUACCCUGGUAGUCC
rnacentral:rRNA from 1 species